GCAAGAUUCGUAUAACGGCAGUACGCUUGCUUCCCAAGCAAGAAGCACGAGUUCAAUUCUCGUAUCUUGCACCA
rnacentral:tRNA from 1 species